AAUUAUUGAGCAAGGAUAAAUCAUCUAAAGGUACUAAACUCACUGGUAAUUGUGACUACACAGAAAAACACAGAAUAUUAUAACGCUGUAAUUGUGGUGUAUAAACUAUACUUAGGUAGAAAGACUGAACAAUGAACCAACAAAAAGAACUACAGCAGUAUUUUAAUAUAGACAGUACAAUAAGAUGUAAAUAGAAACAACAAAAUGUUAAAAGGUGGGACAAUGAAGUUAAGGCAUACAGACUUUAUUAGUUGCUUUUUUUUUUUGCUUGCUUGUUUGUUUAUGCAAAUGGUGUUAAGUUGUUAGCUUAAAAUAAUUGCUUAUAAGAUAGUAUUUGUAAGCCUCUUGGUAACCUUAAGCCAAAAAACAUACAAUGGAGACACAAAAAAUAAAAAACAGGAAACUAAACCAU